UACGAGGGGGGCAAGCGUUGUUCGGAAUUAUUGGGCGUAAAGGGUGCGUAGGCGGUGCGGUAAGUCUGUUGUGAAAUCUCCGGGCUCAACUCGGAGUCUGCAUCAGAAACUGCCGUGCUGGAGUGUGGGAGAGGUGAGUGGAAUUCCCGGUGUAGCGGUGAAAUGCGUAGAGAUCGGGAGGAACACCUGCGGCGAAAAGCGGGCUC
rnacentral:rRNA from 1 species